UACGUAGGGUGCGAGCGUUGUCCGGAAUUACUGGGCGUAAAGGGUGCGUAGGUGGUUUCUUAAGUCAGAGGUGAAAGGCUACGGCUCAACCGUAGUAAGCCUUUGAAACUGGGAAACUUGAGUGCAGGAGAGGAGUGUGGAAUUCCUAGUGUAGCGGUGAAAUGCGUAGAUAUUAGGAGGAACACCAGUUGCGAAGGCGGCUCUCUGGACUGUAACUGACACUGAGGCACGAAAGCGUGGGGAGCAAACAGGAUUAGAUACCCGGGUAGUCCCUGAG
rnacentral:rRNA from 1 species